CCUACGGGUGGCUGCAGUGGGGAAUAUUGCACAAUGGGGGAAACCCUGAUGCAGCGACGCCGCGUGAGUGAAGACGGCCCUACGGGUUGUAAACCUCUUUUGUCGGGGAGCAAAGAGAGUCACGUGUGACUCAUUGAGAGUACCCGAAGAAAAAGCAUCGGCUAACUCCGUGCCAGCAGCCGCGGUAAUACGGAGGAUGCGAGCGUUAUCCGGAUUUAUUGGGUUUAAAGGGUGCGCAGGCGGAGGUGCAAGUCAGCGGUCAAAUUGCGGGGCUCAACCCCGUACUGCCGUUGAAACUGCAUCCCUUGAGUGCGCGAGAAGUAUGCGGAAUGCGUGGUGUAGCGGUGAAAUGCAUAGAUAUCACGCAGAACUCCGAUUGCGAAGGCAGCAUACCGGCGCGCAACUGACGCUCAUGCACGAAAGCGUGGGUAUCGAACAGGAUUAGAUACCCUAGUAGUC
rnacentral:rRNA from 1 species